rnacentral:rRNA from 1 species
UGGCGAACUGGUGAGUAACACGUGGGUAAUCUGCCCUGCACUCUGGGAUAAGCCUGGGAAACUGGGUCUAAUACUGGAUAUGACCUUUCUCCUUAUGGGGUUUGGUGGAAAGUUUUUCGGUGUAGGAUGAGCCCGCGGCCUAUCAGCUUGUUGGUGGGGUGAUGGCCUACCAAGGCGACGACGGGUAGCCGGCCUGAGAGGGUGAUCGGCCACACUGGAACUGAGACACGGUCCAG